GCGGGCCGUGGGAGCGGGAGCCCGGAGAUGGGUACUGAGACAAGGACCCAGGCCCUACGGGGCGCAGCAGUCGCGAAAACUUUGCAAUAGGCGAAAGCCUGACAGGGCUAUCCCGAGUGCCAUCCGCUGAGGAAGGCUUUUACCCAGUCUAGAACGCUGGGGGAAUAAGGAGAGGGCAAGUCUGGUGUCAGCCGCCGCGGUAAUACCAGCUCUCCGAGUGGUGUGGAUGUUUAUUGGGCCUAAAGCAUCCGUAGCUGGCUAAGUUAGUCCCUUGUUAAAUCCACCGAAUUAAUCGUUGGAUCGCGGGGGAUACUGCUUGGCUAGGGGACGAGAGAGGCAGACGGUAUUUCCGGGGUAGGGGUGAAAUCCUAUAAUCCCGGGAAGACCACCAGUGGCGAAGGCUGUCUGCUAGAACGCGCCCGA
rnacentral:rRNA from 1 species